rnacentral:rRNA from 1 species
CCUUAGAGUUUGAUCCUGGCUCAGGAUGACCUUUGGCGGCGUGCUUAACACAUUCAAGUCGAACGGGCAGUAGCAAUACUGUUAGUGGCGGACGGGUGAGUAACUCGUGAGCAAUCUGCCUAUGUGUGUGGGAUAACGUAUGGAAACAGACGCUAAUACCGCAUGACGCAUUCGGGUCGCAUGGUCUGAAUGCCAAAGAUUUAUUGCACAUAGAUGAGCUCGCGUCCCAUUAGAUAGUUGGUGAGGUAACGGCCCACCAAGUCGACGAUGGGUAGCCGGACUGAGAGGUUGAACGGCCACAUUGGAACUGAGAAACGGUCCAGACUCCUACGGGAGGCAGCAGUGGGGAAUAUUGGGCAAUGGGCGAAAGCCUGACCCAGCGACGCCGCGUGAGGGAAGAAGGUCUUCGGAUUGUAAACUUUUGUUCUUAGUGAAGAAAAAUGACGGUAGCUAAGGAGAAAGCCACGGCUAACUACGUGCCAGCAGCCGCGGUAAUACGUAGGUGGCAAGCGUUGUCCGGAAUUACUGGGUGUAAAGGGAGCGCAGGCGGGACAGCAAGUUGGAUGUGAAAUACCGAGGCUUAACCUCGGAGCUGCAUCCAAAACUGUAGUUCUUGAGUGAAGUAGAGGUAGGCGGAAUUCCGAGUGUAGCGGUGAAAUGCGUAGAUAUUCGGAGGAACACCAGUGGCGAAGGCGGCCUACUGGGCUUUAACUGACGCUGAGGCUCGAAAGUGUGGGGAGCAAACAGGAUUAGAUACCCUGGUAGUCCACAUCUGUAAACGCAUGAUUGCAUAGGUGUGGGGGGGUCUGACCCCCUCCGUGCCGGAGUUAACGCAAUAAGUAAUCCACCUGGGGAGUACGACCGCAAGGUUGAAACUCAAAGGAAUUGACGGGGGCCCGCACAAGCGGAGGAACAUGUGGUUUAAUUCGAUGAUACGCGAGGAACCUUACCCGGGCUCGAACGGCUGGUGAACGAUUCAGAGAUGAAGAGGUCCUUCGGGACGCCAGUCGAGGUGGUGCAUGGUUGUCGUCAGCUCGUGUCGUGAGAUGUUGGGUUAAGUCCCGCAACGAGCGCAACCCUUACCUUUAGUUGCUACGCAAGAGCACUCUAAAGGGACUGCCGUUGACAAAACGGAGGAAGGUGGGGAUGACGUCAAAUCAUCAUGCCCCUUAUGACCUGGGCUACACACGUACUACAAUGGCAAUUAACAAAGAGAAGCGAAAUCGCGAGGUGGAGCAAAUCUCCAAAAAUUGUCCCAGUUCGGAUUGCAGGCUGCAACUCGCCUGCAUGAAGUCGGAAUUGCUAGUAAUCGCGGAUCAGCAUGCCGCGGUGAAUACGUUCCCGGGCCUUGCACUCACCGCCCGUCA